rnacentral:RNase_P_RNA from 1 species
AGAUGGCUAGGCAAUCGCUGUGGAGCAAUCCAUGGAGGAAAGUCCGGGCUUCGUAUGAGACACAAUACCAGAUAACGUCUGGGCGGGGUAACCCGAUGGACAGUGUCGCAGAAAACAAACCGCCCAGUUCGCUGGGUAAGGGUGAAACGGCGAGGUAAGAGCUCACCGCGCAGGCCGAGAGGCUUUGUGGCAGGACAAACCCUAUUGGAAGCAAGACCAAACAAGACGGCCGAUGUUCCUAUCGUAAAAGGACAGUCUCAGGUCCGCCGGCGCUAGGUAGGUUGCUUGAGCAUAUCAGCAAUGAUAUUGCCAGACGAAUGAUUGCCCUCGACAGAACCCGGCUUACAGGCCAUCUG